rnacentral:rRNA from 1 species
GGGUUGUGAGGUUAAGCGACUAAGCGUACACGGUGGAUGCCCUGGCAGUCAGAGGCGAUGAAGGACGUGCUAAUCUGCGAUAAGCGUCGGUAAGGUGAUAUGAACCGUUAUAACCGGCGAUUUCCGAAUGGGGAAACCCAGUGUGUUUCGACACACUAUCAUUAACUGAAUCCAUAGGUUAAUGAGGCGAACCGGGGGAACUGAAACAUCUAAGUACCCCGAGGAAAAGAAAUCAACCGAGAUUCCCCCAGUAGCGGCGAGCGAACGGGGAGCAGCCCAGAGCCUGAAUCAGUGUGUGUGUUAGUGGAAGCGUCUGGAAAGGCGCGCGAUACAGGGUGACAGCCCCGUACACAAAAAUGCACAUGCUGUGAGCUCGAUGAGUAGGGCGGGACACGUGGUAUCCUGUCUGAAUAUGGGGGGACCAUCCUCCAAGGCUAAAUACUCCUGACUGACCGAUAGUGAACCAGUACCGUGAGGGAAAGGCGAAAAGAACCCCGGCGAGGGGAGUGAAAAAGAACCUGAAACCGUGUACGUACAAGCAGUGGGAGCACGCUUCGGCGUGUGACUGCGUACCUUUUGUAUAAUGGGUCAGCGACUUAUAUUCUGUAGCAAGGUUAACCGAAUAGGGGAGCCGAAGGGAAACCGAGUCUUAACUGGGCGUUAAGUUGCAGGGUAUAGACCCGAAACCCGGUGAUCUAGCCAUGGGCAGGUUGAAGGUUGGGUAACACUAACUGGAGGACCGAACCGACUAAUGUUGAAAAAUUAGCGGAUGACUUGUGGCUGGGGGUGAAAGGCCAAUCAAACCGGGAGAUAGCUGGUUCUCCCCGAAAGCUAUUUAGGUAGCGCCUCGUGAAUUCAUCUCCGGGGGUAGAGCACUGUUUCGGCAAGGGGGUCAUCCCGACUUACCAACCCGAUGCAAACUGCGAAUACCGGAGAAUGUUAUCACGGGAGACACACGGCGGGUGCUAACGUCCGUCGUGAAGAGGGAAACAACCCAGACCGCCAGCUAAGGUCCCAAAGUCAUGGUUAAGUGGGAAACGAUGUGGGAAGGCCCAGACAGCCAGGAUGUUGGCUUAGAAGCAGCCAUCAUUUAAAGAAAGCGUAAUAGCUCACUGGUCGAGUCGGCCUGCGCGGAAGAUGUAACGGGGCUAAACCAUGCACCGAAGCUGCGGCAGCGACGCUGAUGCGUUGUUGGGUAGGGGAGCGUUCUGUAAGCCUGCGAAGGUGUGCUGUGAGGCAUGCUGGAGGUAUCAGAAGUGCGAAUGCUGACAUAAGUAACGAUAAAGCGGGUGAAAAGCCCGCUCGCCGGAAGACCAAGGGUUCCUGUCCAACGUUAAUCGGGGCAGGGUGAGUCGACCCCUAAGGCGAGGCCGAAAGGCGUAGUCGAUGGGAAACAGGUUAAUAUUCCUGUACUUGGUGUUACUGCGAAGGGGGGACGGAGAAGGCUAUGUUGGCCGGGCGACGGUUGUCCCGGUUUAAGCGUGUAGGCUGGUUUUCCAGGCAAAUCCGGAAAAUCAAGGCUGAGGCGUGAUGACGAGGCACUACGGUGCUGAAGCAACAAAUGCCCUGCUUCCAGGAAAAGCCUCUAAGCAUCAGGUAACAUCAAAUCGUACCCCAAACCGACACAGGUGGUCAGGUAGAGAAUACCAAGGCGCUUGAGAGAACUCGGGUGAAGGAACUAGGCAAAAUGGUGCCGUAACUUCGGGAGAAGGCACGCUGAUAUGUAGGUGAGGUCCCUCGCGGAUGGAGCUGAAAUCAGUCGAAGAUACCAGCUGGCUGCAACUGUUUAUUAAAAACACAGCACUGUGCAAACACGAAAGUGGACGUAUACGGUGUGACGCCUGCCCGGUGCCGGAAGGUUAAUUGAUGGGGUCAGCGCAAGCGAAGCUCUUGAUCGAAGCCCCGGUAAACGGCGGCCGUAACUAUAACGGUCCUAAGGUAGCGAAAUUCCUUGUCGGGUAAGUUCCGACCUGCACGAAUGGCGUAAUGAUGGCCAGGCUGUCUCCACCCGAGACUCAGUGAAAUUGAACUCGCUGUGAAGAUGCAGUGUACCCGCGGCAAGACGGAAAGACCCCGUGAACCUUUACUAUAGCUUGACACUGAACAUUGAGCCUUGAUGUGUAGGAUAGGUGGGAGGCUUAGAAGUGUGGACGCCAGUCUGCAUGGAGCCGACCUUGAAAUACCACCCUUUAAUGUUUGAUGUUCUAACGUUGACCCGUAAUCCGGGUUGCGGACAGUGUCUGGUGGGUAGUUUGACUGGGGCGGUCUCCUCCUAAAGAGUAACGGAGGAGCACGAAGGUUGGCUAAUCCUGGUCGGACAUCAGGAGGUUAGUGCAAUGGCAUAAGCCAGCUUGACUGCGAGCGUGACGGCGCGAGCAGGUGCGAAAGCAGGUCAUAGUGAUCCGGUGGUUCUGAAUGGAAGGGCCAUCGCUCAACGGAUAAAAGGUACUCCGGGGAUAACAGGCUGAUACCGCCCAAGAGUUCAUAUCGACGGCGGUGUUUGGCACCUCGAUGUCGGCUCAUCACAUCCUGGGGCUGAAGUAGGUCCCAAGGGUAUGGCUGUUCGCCAUUUAAAGUGGUACGCGAGCUGGGUUUAGAACGUCGUGAGACAGUUCGGUCCCUAUCUGCCGUGGGCGCUGGAGAACUGAGGGGGGCUGCUCCUAGUACGAGAGGACCGGAGUGGACGCAUCACUGGUGUUCGGGUUGUCAUGCCAAUGGCACUGCCCGGUAGCUAAAUGCGGAAGAGAUAAGUGCUGAAAGCAUCUAAGCACGAAACUUGCCCCGAGAUGAGUUCUCCCUGACCCUUUAAGGGUCCUGAAGGAACGUUGAAGACGACGACGUUGAUAGGCCGGGUGUGUAAGCGCAGCGAUGCGUUGAGCUAACCGGUACUAAUGAACCGUGAGGCUUAACCUUACAACGCCGAAGCUGUU